rnacentral:rRNA from 1 species
AGCGAACGCUGGCGGCAGGCCUAACACAUGCAAGUCGAACGAACCUUUCGGGGUUAGUGGCGGACGGGUGAGUAACACGGGGGAACGUGCCUGUAGGUUCGGAAUAACUCAGGGAAACUUGUGCUAAUACCGAAGGGGCCCUUCGGGGGAAAGAUUAAUCGCCGUUAGAGCGGCCCGCGUAUGAUUAGCUAGUUGGGUGAGGUAAUGGCUCACCAAGGCGACGAGCAGUAGCUGGUCUGAGAGGAUGAUCCGCCACAUUGGGACUGCGACACGGCCCACACUCCUACGGGAGGCAGCAGUGGGGAAUCUUGCGCAAUGGGCGAAAGCCUGACGCAGCCAUGCCGCGUGAAUGAUGAAGGUCUUAGGAUUGUAAAAUUCUUUCUCCGGGGACGAUAAUGACGGUACCCGGAGAAGAAGCCCCGGCUAACUUCGUG